AACGAACGCUGGCGGCAUGCCUAACACAUGCAAGUCGAACGAGACCUUCGGGUCUAGUGGCGCACGGGUGCGUAACGCGUGGGAACCUGCCCUUAGGUUCGGAAUAACUCCCCGAAAGGGGUGCUAAUACCGGAUAAUGUCUUCGGACCAAAGAUUUAUCGCCUUUGGAUGGGCCCGCGUUGGAUUAGCUAGUUGGUAGGGUAAAAGCCUACCAAGGCGACGAUCCAUAGCUGGUCUGAGAGGAUGAUCAGCCACACUGGGACUGAGACACGGCCCAGACUCCUACGGGAGGCAGGAGUGGGGAAUAUUGGACAAUGGGCGAAAGCAUGAUCCAGCAAUGCCGCGUGAGUGAUGAAGGCCUUAGGGUUGUAAAGCUCUUUUAACCGGGAUGAUAAUGACAGUACCGGGAGAAUAAGCUCCGGCUAACUCCGUG
rnacentral:rRNA from 1 species